GUUGUUGCAGGGCAGAAGCUUGGGUCAGCUGGUGUUAUUGUGGACAUGUUUCCCCUCCACAUCCCGGCCAAACUGAAGGAUCUUAGUAAAGCCUGGUACUCUGGGAAUCAGCUGGCUCAGCCACUGGAUUCAGUCAAUGGGUAUUUUGGAAGCUCUGUGGCUUUCUACUUCAGCUUCCUUGAUUUCUACACCUGGUCUCUGCUCCCACCAGCGAUACUGGGCCUGUCCAUCACAUACUUUUCAGGCGAGGUUCAGAAGGACAUGGAGUC